AAAAACGGUACGCAGCGCCCUGCGCUUGCUCGCGCAUGCCUAAACAGCUUCCACUUUGAAAACACGGUAGUGCCUGUUCAAAUCUGGUCUGAAGGUUUUAAUGUCAGUAUACUCGUCACUUGGGUGGUCUGCUACAGGGAACUAGCGGGCGAUUUGAUCAACCAAGGGCAGCCGCUCCGAUCCCAGGAUGCUGGGUAUCGCACCAUUCCAAACAUUUAAAAACAGACAUGGGAGGGAGAGCAUUCGACUAUGAGGCCCCGAAGCUAUGGAACGAAUCGCCGGUUCCUGUUUGGAAAGCUCCUACUGUAGCAAUCUUCAAAAGCAGGCUGAAGACACUUUUUCAUAGUUUAGCAUAUUUAUCAAAUUGACUUUUAAUUUACUGUCUUUAUUGUUUAUACUGUUUUUUGUUAUUUUAUUGUAUUGUUUUUUUUGUAUUUAACUGUACAAAAAUGAUUUAUUUUAUUGUAAUUGUUCUUUGAUAUUCUGCAUAUGUUAAAGCACUUCAACUUGUUGCGAAAGGCGCUAUACUAAGUAAAGAUGUGAUUGAUUGAUUGAUUGAGAAACACCACCUCUCAGUAGAAGCCUGUUAUACUAGACUCUAAUUAAAACACUGGACUGCAUUCAAGGACCAUCCACAUGCCGGUAAAUACAUUGCUGUUCAUGCAUUCAAGGCUUUAUGAAUACACGGCAGUGUUCUCCAGUCUCUAGAAAGCUGCACAGUACAAGCACAGUCUCUGCACUGCAAGAGUGAUCCUGCACGUACUGCACUGUACAACAGCCUCACUGCAAGAGAUAUCCUGCACGUACUGCACUGUACAACAGCCUCACUGCAAGAACAAUCCUGCACGUACUGCACUGUACAACAGCCUCACUGCAAGAGAUAUCCUGCACGUACUGCACUGUACAACAGCCUCACUGCAAGAACAAUCCUGCACGUACUGCACUGUACAACAGCCCCACUGCAAGAACAAUCCUGCACGUACUGCACUGUACAACAGCCCCACUGCAAGAACAAUCCUGCACGUACUGCACUGUACAACAGCCCCACUGCAAGAACAAUCCUGCACGUACUGCACUGUACAGCAGCCUCACUGCAAGAGCAAUCCUGCACGUACUGCACUGUACAGCAGCCUCACUGCAGCCUGGGAUUCAUUUGGAAAAAAUACAAUUCAGUGAAGGAUAAUGACUACAAGUAAAACAAAUAUGUUAAAAAUGAAAAAAACAAAUGUGAAAAUCAACAAAACUAACUCUAGAGAUAUUAUUGAAAAAAUGGCAAACUUACUGAAGUAUUUACCUGUAUGUAUAAAAUACAGAAAGUCUAACCGAUGUAAAGAGCAGUCCAAUAGUGCCUGUAUUUUAGCCGCUAUCAUUUUUCUUUAGGAGACUUGCAAUCCAUACCACUAGAGCCUCAAGAACGUAUUAAUACGACACUUCUCAAAGAAAAGGAUGCAAAAAAUAGUACAUACUUUUCUAUUUGUAUGUAUUUGUUUUUCAAGCUGAAACUAAUAGCUAAUAGCAUAAACUAAUAGCUAUCUGUUGGGUAUAGUUUUAUACACUUUCUGCUUUUGGGGUAUUAACACAUCUUGCGAUUUCCACCAUCCAAAUAGUUAUUUUCUGUUCAAUUAAAUACUGCAAAAUAUUAUACAACUCCCACAGAUUACCUAAACUAAAAGCCACACCAUUCUGCAUGGUUCAAGAUUCAAUGGUACGUUUAUGUUCCCCCUGCAUAUACAAAUCUUACAGCAAUGCCAAGCACAUGAAAUGCAGACUAAAGAAUAUACACAUACAGACUAAAUAAUGUACUUCCCACCUAAGAACAUUAUAAACACAACAGCAUGUACUGUAGUACUAAGUGCUGUGGACAAACUCCACGAGAGAUCAGACCCUGCCCUGUAUCUUUACUGAGUGUUAGUGCAGGGAGCUAGCACAGCAAGGUGAAGCACUGCCCUGUAUCUUUACUGAGUGUUAGUGCAGGGAGCUAGCACAGCAAGGUGAAGCACUGCCCUGUAUCUUUACUGAGUGUUAGUGCAGGGAGCUAGCACAGCAAGGUGAAGCACUGCCCUGUAUCUUUAGAGUGUUAGUGCAGGGAGCUAGCACAGCAAGGUGAAGCACUGCCCUGUAUCUUUAGAGUGUUAGUGCAGGGAGCUAGCACAGCAAGGUGAAGCACUGCCCUGUAUCUUUAGAGUGUUAGUGCAGGGAGCUAGCACAGCAAGGUGAAGCACUGCCCUGUAUCUUUAGAGUGUUAGUGCAGGGAGCUAGCAUAGCAAGGUUAAGCACUGCCCUGUAUCUUUACUGAGUGUUAGUGCAGGGAGCUAGCACAGCAAGGUGAAGCACUGCCCUGUAUCUUUACUGAGUGUUAGUGCAGGGAGCUAGCAUAGCAAGGUGAAGCACUGCCCUGUAUCUUUAGAGUGUUAGUGCAGGGAGCUAGCACAGCAAGGUGAAGCACUGCCCUGUAUCUUUAGAGUGUUAGUGCAGGGAGCUAGCAUAGCAAGGUGAAGCACUGCCCUGUAUCUUUACUGAGUGUUAGUGCAGGGAGCUAGCAUAGCAAGGUGAAGCACUGCCCUGUAUCUUUAGAGUGUUAGUGCAGGGAGCUAGCAUAGCAAGGUGAAGCACUGCC